UAAAAGUAUAGAAUAAAAAUAGUGGAA
rnacentral:piRNA from 1 species